CGGCCAGACUCCUACGGGAGGCAGCAGUGGGGAAUAUUGCACAAUGGGGGAAACCCUGAUGCAGCGACGCCGCGUGGGUGAAGAAGUACUUCGGUACGUAAAUCCCUAUCAGCAGGGAAGAAAAUGACGGUACCUGAUUAAGAAGCCCCGGCUAACUACGUGCCAGCAGCCGCGGUAAUACGUAGGUGGCAAGCGUUAUCCGGAUUUACUGGGUGUAAAGGGCGUGUAGGCGGGGACGCAAGUCAGAUGUGAAAACCACGGGCUCAACCUGUGGCCUGCAUUUGAAACUGUGUUUCUUGAGUACUGGAGAGGCAGACGGAAUUCCUAGUGUAGCGGUGAAAUGCGUAGAUAUUAGGAGGGACACCAGUGGCGAAGGCGGUCUGCUGGACGGCAACUGACGCUGAGGCGCGAAAGCGUGGGGAGCAAACAGGAUUAGAUACCCCCGUAC
rnacentral:rRNA from 1 species